rnacentral:rRNA from 1 species
UACAUGGGGUGCAAACGUUGCUCGGAAUCAUUGGGCGUAAAGCGCGCGUAGGCGGUUACUUAAGUUGGAUGUGAAAGCCCUCGGCUUAACCGAGGAAGUGCAUCCAAAACUGAGUAGCUAGAGUACGAAAGAGGGUCGCGGAAUUCCCGGUGUAGAGGUGAAAUUCGUAGAUAUCGGGAGGAACACCGGUGGCGAAGGCGGGUUGCUGGGCUGACACUGACGCUGAUGCGCGAAAGCCAGGGGAGCGAACGGG